rnacentral:rRNA from 1 species
AGAGUUUGAUCCUGGCUCAGAUUGAACGCUGGCGGCAUGCUUUACACAUGCAAGUCGAACGGCAGCACGGGGGCGAACCCUGGUGGCGAGUGGCGAACGGGUGAGUAAUGCAUCGGAACGUAUCCUUGAGUGGGGGAGUAACGCAGCGAAAGUUAGUGCUAAUACCGCAUAAGCUCUGAGGAGGAAAGCGGGGGACCGAAAGGCCUCGCGCUGAAGGAGCGGCCGAUGUCCGAUUAGCUAGUUGGUAGGGUAAAGGCCUACCAAGGCUACGACGGGUCGGCUGGUCUGAGAGGACGACCAGCCACACUGGCACUGAGAUACGGGCCAGACUCCUACGGGAGGCGAC